rnacentral:rRNA from 1 species
ACGGAAGGCAGCAGUGGGGAAUAUUGGGCAAUGGGCGAAAGCCUGACCCAGCGACGCCGCGUGAAGGAUGAAGGUCUUCGGAUUGUAAACUUCUGUCGACAGGGAAGAAACAAAUGACGGUACCUGUUGAGAAAGCCACGGCUAACUACGUGCCAGCAGCCGCGGUAAUACGUAGGUGGCAAGCGUUAUCCGGAUUUACUGGGUGUAAAGGGUGUGUAGGCGGGAUUGCAAGUCAGAUGUGAAAAUUAUGAGCCUAACUCAUAACCUGCGUUUGAAACUGUAGUUCUUGAGAGUCGGAGAGGUAAACGGAAUUCCUGGUGUAGCGGUGAAAUGCGUAGAUAUCAGGAGGAACACCGGUGGCGAAGGCGGCUUACUGGACGACAACUGACGCUGAGACACGAAAGCGUGGGGAGCAAACAGGAUUAGAUACCCUGGUA